rnacentral:rRNA from 1 species
UACGUAGGUCCCGAGCGUUGUCCGGAUUUAUUGGGCGUAAAGCGAGCGCAGGUGGUUUAUUAAGUCUGGUGUAAAAGGCAGUGGCUCAACCAUUGUAUGCAUUGGAAACUGGUAGACUUGAGUGGAUGAGAAGUACGCGGAAUGCGUGGUGUAGCGGUGAAAUGCAUAGAUAUCACGCAGAACUCCGAUUGCGAAGGCAGCGUACCGGCAUCCAACUGACGCUGAGGCACGAAAGCGUGGGGAUCAAACAGG